rnacentral:rRNA from 1 species
CCUACGGGGGGCUGCAGUGGGGAAUAUUGGGCAAUGGAGGAAACUCUGACCCAGCAACGCCGCGUGAAUGAUGAAGGUCUUCGGAUUGUAAAGUUCUUUUCUAAGGGAAGAAGAAAGUGACGGUACCUUAGGAAUAAGCCUCGGCUAACUACGUGCCAGCAGCCGCGGUAAUACGUAGGAGGCAAGCGUUAUCCGGAAUGACUGGGCGUAAAGGGUGCGUAGGUGGUUUGAUAAGUUGGUAGCGUAACUCCGAGGCUCAACCUCGGCACUACUACCAAAACUGUCGGACUUGAGUGCAGGAGGGGCAACUGGAAUUCCUAGUGUAGCGGUGGAAUGCGUAGAUAUUAGGAGGAACAUCAGGGGCGAAGGCGACUUACUGGACUGUAACUGACACUGAGGCACGAAAGCGUGGGGAGCAAACAGGAUUAGAUACCCCGGUAGUC